rnacentral:misc_RNA from 1 species
CAGAGUUGCAAAACUCCCUUAAACCAUCGCGAACGUACCCAGUAGUCGUUGCUUCGGGGGCGGCUCCAGGCGGAGCCGAGCCUUCACGGCUCCCCGGAGGACCUAUACCUAGCUAGUUAUCUUACCGGCCUCUCUGAGUAUAUUUUUAUAAUAAGUAA